rnacentral:rRNA from 1 species
UACGUAGGUGGCAAGCGUUGUCCGGAUUUACUGGGCGUAAAGGGCGUGCAGGCGGUUUGUUAAGUGCAGAGUGAAAGCUCCCGGCUCAACUGGGAGAGGUCUUUGCAUACUGGCAAACUUGAGGGAGGCAGAGGAAAGUGGAAUUCCCGGUGUAGUGGUGAUAUGCGUAGAUAUCGGGAGGAACACCAGUGGCGAAGGCGACUACCUGGCCUGUUCUUGACGCUGAGGCGCGAAAGCUAGGGAGCAAACGGG